rnacentral:rRNA from 1 species
UAACUCUGUGCCAGCAGCCGCGGUAAUACAGAGGGUGCGAGCGUUAAUCGGAUUUACUGGGCGUAAAGCGUGCGUAGGCGGCUUUUUAAGUCGGAUGUGAAAUCCCUGAGCUUAACUUAGGAAUUGCAUUCGAUACUGGGAAGCUAGAGUAUGGGAGAGGAUGGUAGAAUUCCAGGUGUAGCGGUGAAAUGCGUAGAGAUCUGGAGGAAUACCGAUGGCGAAGGCAGCCAUCUGGCCUAAUACUGACGCUGAGGUACGAAAGCAUGGGGAGCAAACAGGAUUAGAUACCCUGGUAGUCCAUGCCGUAAACGAUGUCUACUAGCCGUUGGGGCCUUUGAGGCUUUAGUGGCGCAGCUAACGCGAUAAGUAGACCGCCUGGGGAGUACGGUCGCAAGACUAAAACGCAAAUGAAUUGACGGGGGCCCGCACAAGCGGUGGAGCAUGUGGUUUAAUUCGAUGCAACGCGAAGAACCUUACCUGGUCUUGACAUAGUAAGAACUUUCCAGAGAUGGAUGGGUGCCUUCGGGAACUUACAUACAGGUGCUGCACGGCUGUCGUCAGCUCGUGUCGUGAGAUGUUGGGUUAAGCCCCGCAACGAGCGCAACCCUUUUCCUUAUUUCCCAGCACUUCGGGUGGGAACUUUAAGGAUACUGGCAGUGACAAACUGGAGGAAGGCGGGGACGACGUCAAGUCAUCAUGGCCCUUACGGCCAGGGCUACACACGUGCUACAAUGGUCGGUACAAAGGGUUGCUACACAGCGAUGUGAUGCUAAUCUCAAAAAGCCGAUCGUAGUCCGGAUUGGAGUCUGCAACUCGACUCCAUGAAGUCGGAAUCGCUAGUAAUCGCGGAUCAGAAUGCCGCGGUGAAUACGUUCCCGGGCCUUGUACACACCGCCCGUCACACCAUGGGAGUUUGUUGCACCAGAAGUAGGUAGUCUAACCGUAAGGAGGACGCUUACCACGGUGUGGCCGAUGACUGGGGUGAAGUCGUAACAAGGUAGCCGUAGGGGAACCUGCGGCUG